rnacentral:lncRNA from 1 species
GGUAGUGUUGGUUGGUUCUUUGAGAGUGUGGUUGGGCGAAUCCUCGAUUCAGGUUGCCGGUUAAAGACGGUGGUUGGCUUCGAGUUUUAUUUGCCAGGUUGCACUAGUUAUCGCUGCUUUCAGCUAGUUAUCGGUGUUCUUCGUACGUCGUGAAGAUCUUGACAACGUGCCGCAUCAUCUGGUAUCAAAGCUUUCGUUACCACGGUAGGAAUUCUAUCCUUAGCUACAUAUAUAUAUAUUUUUGCUUCGUCCUAUCCACCAAAAAGCCAGAAAAAUAUAUUGCUUAGACCUUUCUUUCAAUCUGUUAUUUUAGCGAGUUCGGUUAAGUCCCAGUCCAUUAGAGUCUUUGUUUUAAUUGUUGAUCAUUUAUCCUUCGCGUGUUCUUUGUGCCUCUUUUAUAUCUAAAAAUCCCCACAAAAAAUCUCUAUAGCCUAUAUCAUCCUUUGUGUUAACUUUGAUCCUAUCUAGCUACUGGUUGUUGUUUUAUUAUUUAAAAGUGUGUCAAAAAAAAGAAAAGUAAGUGCAAAAAAAAAGUGAAGUGAAAAAAAAGUUGAGAAAGGUUCAGAGAGAAAUUCUAAAAGAUUAGUUGGUUUAUGUGUAUAAGUGCUGAAAGUUUUAUAUCAAGUUCUCCAACC